GACGAACGCUGGCGGCGUGCUUAACACAUGCAAGUCGAGCGGAAAGGCCUUUCGGGGUACACGAGCGGCGAACGGGUGAGUAACACGUGGGUGACCUGCCCCCUACUCUGGGAUAAGCCCGGGAAACUGGGUCUAAUACCGGAUAUGACACAGUCUCGCAUGAGGUUGUGUGGAAAGUCCUGUUCUUAAUUGGACACUUCGGUGGGGGAUGGGCCCGCGGCCUAUCAGCUUGUUGGUGAGGUUACGGCUCACCAAGGCGACGACGGGUAGCCGGCCUGAGAGGGUGUCCGGCCACACUGGGACUGAGAUACGGCCCAGACUCCUACGGGAGGCAGCAGUGGGGAAUCUUGCGCAAUGGCCGAAAGGCUGACGCAGCGACGCCGCGUGUGGGAUGAAGCAUUUCGGUGUGUAAACCACUGUUGCCCGGGACGAAUUGCCUUUUUCGAGAGGCUUGACGGUACCGGGUGAGGAAGCACCGGCUAACUCCGUGC
rnacentral:rRNA from 1 species